rnacentral:misc_RNA from 1 species
UCCAGGUUAUCCCUGGCGGUCUCCUGAGAGUGCACCCUUUCGGGUUAGCAACACAGGACAAGGGUUGCGCUCGUUGCGGGACUUAACCCAACAUCUCACGACACGAGCUGACGACAGCCAUGCAGCACCUCGACUUCAGUCCCUUGCGGGAGGGGCUCUGUUUCCAAAGCCUUGCCAAAGCCGUUCGAGCCCAGGUAAGGUUCUUCGCGUUGCAUCGAAUUAAGCCACAUACUCCACCGCUUGUGCAGGCCCCCGUCAAUUUCUUUGAGUUUUAAUCUUGCGACCGUACUCCCCAGGCGGGGCGCUUAAUGCGUUAGCUGCGGCACGGAACUCGUGGAAUGAGUCCCACACCUAGCGCCCAACGUUUACGGUGUGGACUAC